GUUACGUGGUGGGAAUGUGUGGUGAUGGAGCCAACGACUGCGGGGCCCUGAAGACAGCCCACGUGGGAAUCUCACUGUCACAGCUCGAAGCCUCUGUCGCCUCUCCGUUCACCUCCAAACAGCCGACCAUCGAGUGUGUCCCCAUCCUCAUCAAGGAGGGUCGCGCUGCCUUGGUCACCUCAUUCUGUGCGUUUAAGUACAUGGCCCUGUACAGCAUGAUCCAAUAUGUCAGUGUCCUCA